CAUGAAUAUAAUAGUAAUAAAAAAGUAUUAUGCUAGACUAGUAUAUUGGGCCACUUUAGGAAAAAAAAGGCGGUAAUAAUUAGACAUCCCGCCACUUAGCAUUUUUUUUCAUUUGGGAUACCUUGAAAUUUGUGAGACCCGAAAGACAAAUUCCUGUCCUUCAAUUCCUUCAACAUUUCUGAGACCCGAGACCCAUUUCCUGUCCUUCAACAUUUCUGAGACCCAUUUCCUUUCCCCAUUUCUUCGGCUUGGUACUACAUCCGAACUCCUCACUCUCUCUCUCGUCUAUCUCUCUGUCAACCUUCAAUUUCUAGUCGUUGGGAUCCUCGAGCGAGAAAAAGAGAAAUAAAAGGGGAAAAUCACUUUCGUUUUCUUUUUUUUUUUAUGGUUUUUCUUUUCUUUCAUGAUCCGGUUCUGAAUUUUGAUGGUUUCUCUGAUUCCUCUUCUGCUCUGCCGCAAGAGCUACUCCGAUUGUCCCUCAGGCGUGGACUAAGGCUCGAUGACUAUGGGACGUAGGCAGGGACUAAAGGUUGACAAUGAUGGGAUGCAGACGGUGCUUUGGUGGUGAGGGCUAGAUCGGUGUAGGUGGUGGUCGACUGUGUCUUGUGCAAGGUCGGGGACAGACGGGGACCGAAGGGUGACGAAUGGUAGAGCUCAACACCUUUUUUUUGAAGUUCUAUUUGUGGAUUCCUCCUCGAAACCCCGUUAUUGUGUAUAGGUUGAUAUUGUGGUGGCUAAUAGCAAUUCCUACAAUCCGCGAGUACAACUCAUAUCUUCAAGACAGAAAACCAGCGAAAAAAGCCAGAUAAAAAGCCUGCUAGGCAAUGGUUAUUGGUAGUUGUUAACAGAUUACUAGUCUCUACUGUAAGGAAAGGUGAAGAUGUAUGGCAUUUAGAGAUUAGUGCUGGGGGUUUAGUCAGUGCUCUUCUGGAUUCAGAUCACUUUAUACGUGCACUGGAGCUUCCUCAAGUCUAGAAACACAUCAGAGAACUUAAAGAAAGAUGUGUUGGGCGGAAGUUUUAUGGUGCAACAACAUUUUUCAUUCAUAGAUCAGACUUUAGUGUCUCCUUGAUUAUGCUUUAUAUGAAGGUUGGAGAGAAAGACAGUUAAGAGGAAAAGAGUUUUUGCUCGAACAUAUUGUUCACCUUCUUGCCAAUGAGCAAUCACAACUUCGUGUUCUUGAAGAAGCUGAACCCAAAUAGUGACUUUUGGCAGUCUAAACUGUUGCUUUGAAUAUCAAACUUCUUCUGAUGUGGCCCCCAGGGCAGGUGCAAAAAUAGUACAUUGCAAGAGUUAUUGGGGCAUUUCCUGAGCAUGAGAAAGUUGUAGAUGCCAAUAUAAAUUAUAAUGCCCGGGAAGGAAAGAGCACAACAGAGGUGCUCAACUCCUCUGGUGGCACUUCAGUAAAAGGAAAGGUUGCUUGUACCAAGUUCACUAGAAUUAGUACCAUAAUGUGUUCCUCUAUAUAUGUAGAUUUAUAUAAUUAAAUUCGUGUGUAUUGAAGUUGUUAACGUUAUAUAUAUACAUUUUUUGGAGUAAAGCAUUUGAUGUAAGUUUUUAAAGUAUUUAUUGGACUUUAUUAUAGUGUUCUACUAUAUGAGUUCAUGCUUUUACACCAGACAUAGCCAUUAGUUAUGUUUUAACUGUCAUUAGUGAUACAUCUUUUGCUGUUGGUUAAUACAUGUGACAAUGAGAAUCCAUUUCUUACUGCUUUGGCUUCUCUUUUGUGGCAGAGAUUGACCACAAAGAUGUACCAUUUGUUACUUUAAUGGAUGUUCUUACCUAUCGAGAGGUAUCAUAUUUUAUUAUUUUAUUUGGUAGCUCUCAAGUUUUCUGGUCCAACUAUUUGAGAAGUGGAAAAGAAUUAUAGAUUUGUCUUGUUAGAACUUAUCAAUGAGAAGUAGAAAAGAAACAUGAAGAGGGUAGGAAAAGUCAAUUUUGGUUGCUAUUUGGUAACUAGAAAGUAGUAUUUUAGUUUUGAAUAUUUAAUGGAGAGUUAAUAUUAUUGGAAAAGUAUGCUCUGAUUUUGGUGUUUUAGUUUUGAAUAUUUAAUGGAGAGUUACUAAGUUGUAGCAAGAAGUUGAAAAUUGGAUCAUAUUGUUUGGAGUAGAAAUACAUGUGUUUUAGUGUUUUUUUUCUUCAUGUAAACAGAAAAUCAUGGAUUCCCUGUACUUUUUAGCUUAAGAAAUUUGCUUGUCAUGUCUCAUUUUCUGUUUCUUGUGAACCUUUGUUAUUGACACCGAGUUAGAUGCAUUUUAUACUGACUCAAGUCAAAAGAACACUAGAAUUAAGGCACAGUAUUUAAGUUUAGACAAUGUUACAAAGAACUUGAGAAAGUUCUAUGCACAAGCUUACUUGGGACAAUCACCAAAACAAGCUCCAAAGUAUUGGCUUCAUUUUCAAGUUUCUGUACUAUCGCUUGGUUGGAAUACUUACUUUGUCUCAAAGGCAUAUAGUCCAGAAAAUGGGAUCAAUGGCAGAUGAAUUGGAUCCAUGUUGAACAAUCAGUAAA